rnacentral:rRNA from 1 species
AACGAACGCUGGCGGCGUGCUUAACACAUGCAAGUCGAACGCGAAAGUUUUCUUCGGAAAACGAGUAGAGUGGCGCACGGGUGAGUAACGCGUAGAUAAUCUACCCCUAUGUUUGGGAUAACACACCGAAAGGUGUGCUAAUACCGGAUACACUUUGAUUCUGUAGGGUUUUAAAGGAAAGGUGGCCUCUAUUUAUAAGCUACCGCAUAAGGACGAGUCUGCGUACCAUUAGCUAGUUGGUGGGGUAAUGGCCUACCAAGGCUGCGAUGGUUAGCGGGUCUGAGAGGAUGAUCCGUCACACUGGCACUGGAACACGGGCCAG